GGUUGAUCCUGCCAGUAGUCAUAUGCUUGUCUCAAAGAUUAAGCCAUGCAUGUCUAAGUUUAAACAAACAAACAGUGAAACUGCGAAUGGCUCAUUAAAUCAGUUAUAAUCUAUUCGACGUCCUAAUUUUUAAUUACUACUCGGAUAACCGUGGUAAUUCUAGAGCUAAUACGUGCCUUGAAAGUCCUGACCUUUAUUGGAAGGGAUGCAGUUAUUAGAUACAGAACCAAUCGGGGCAACCCGUUAUUUGGUGAUUCAUGAUAACCUUGCAGAUCGCAUGGCCUUGUGCUGG
rnacentral:rRNA from 1 species